rnacentral:miRNA from 15 species
UAAACACUACCUACAUCCAGUAU